rnacentral:rRNA from 1 species
AGCUCCAAUAGCGUAUAUUAAUGUUGUUGCAGUUAAAAAGCUCGUAGUUGGAUUUCUGAUGGAAGCCCGGGUCACUUUAACGAGUGUACUACUGUGGUUUGUUCCAUCAUUUCACGGGGAAGCAUGCUGGUAUUAAGUUAUCGGCGUGGGGAUCCGUGUCGUUUACUGUGAAAAAUUAGAGUGUUCAAAGCAGGCCAUCGCUGUGAAUACAUUAGCAUGGAAUAAUAAGAUAGGACUGUGGUACUAUUUUGUUGGUUUGCGUACUAUGGUAAUGAUUAAUAGGGAUAGUUGGGGGUAUUCAUAUUCAAUUGUCAGAGGUGAAAUUCUUGGAUUUAUGGAAGAUGAACUACUGCGAAAGCAUUUACCAAGGAUGUUUUCA